rnacentral:rRNA from 1 species
GACGAACGCUGGCGGCGUGCUUAACACAUGCGAGUCGAACGCUGAAGACCUGGCUUUUGUUGGGUUGGAUGAGUGGCGCACGGGUGAGUAACACGUGAGUAACCUGCCCUCUUCUUUGGGAUAACGCCCGGAAACGGGUGCUAAUACUGGAUAUUCACUGGCCUUCGCAUGGGGGUUGGUGGAAAGGUUUGUUCUGGUGGGGGAUGGGCUCGCGGCCUAUCAGCUUGUUGGUGGGGUGAUGGCCUACCAAGGCUUUGACGGGUAGCCGGCCUGAGAGGGUGACCGGUCACAUUGGGACUGAGAUACGGCCCAGACUCCUACGGGAGGCAGCAGUGGGGAAUAUUGCACAAUGGGCGAAAGCCUGAUGCAGCGACGCCGCGUGAGGGAUGGAGGCCUUCGGGGUGUAAACCUCUUUCGCUCAUGGUCAAGCCGCAACUGUGGGUUGUGGUGAGGGUAGUGGGUAAAGAAGCGCCGGCUAACUACGUG